AUUUCAGUACGCAAUGUAUUCUACCCUCAAAAGCAAUAUGAUUUCAGUGAGGGGGACAUGCUCUCUAUCAGGAGGUGGUGGUUGGACAGCUGUUGGAGACCUUUAUACUUGAAAGCCCUGCAGAACUAGCUGGCUCCUUCUCACCCUCUCCAUCUCCCCAUCUCAGUCACACCUUCCAAUCACUAAGCAGUGAAAGCCCUGCAGGACUAGCUGGCACACCAAGCUCACCCUCUCCAUCUCCCCAUCUCAGCCACACGCUCCAAUCUGGCACAACAGAGGACAGGCCAUUCUUACCACCCGAAGUCCUUCAGCAAAUUGUACAAGAGACGCUGAGACUGGACAUGGCGAUGCUUGGCGUGUUCAACAGGGUUUCAAACACAUUCCGAGAACUAUUCAAGCCUCUCCAUCCUUCCAUAUAUAUAAAUGACAGUUUGGCAGGGGACAUUAAGCUUAAUAAAGACAAUCUCAUAUACAUAACGGUUAGAAAGAUUUACAACAAUGCAGGCUGUGGCAGUGGCCUUGCGCUACGCCUCAAAGGCUUCUCAAAAAAGAAGAAUUGGCCAAGCGCACCCCUGGUACUGAGGAACGUUGCAUAUGGCAGGUUUGUCAUCAAAGAUGUCUGCCUAGCAUAAUGUUCUUUUAUUACUCCUUUUUUGUUUUAUUUGGGACGUCUUUUUUUGCAAUCCCUUCCAUUUGUAAAUGUACAUACUACUGUAGUAAAUGUAUCUGCCCAGAAAUGCUGGUAUUUUAUUACUCCUUUCUUUUUUGUUUUUGUGACAAAUGCUAUACGAUGUAUAACAUACAUUUGUGCCUACGAUGUAUGUUGUAAGGUUAAUUGUUACAG